CGGCACGGGUGAGUAACACGUAUCCAACCUGCCGUCUACUCUUGGACAGCCUUCUGAAAGGAAGAUUAAUACAAGAUGGCAUCAUGAGUCCGCAUGUUCACAUGAUUAAAGGUAUUCCGGUAGACGAUGGGGAUGCGUUCCAUUAGAUAGUAGGCGGGGUAACGGCCCACCUAGCCUUCGAUGGAUAGGGGUUCUGAGAGGAAGGUCCCCCACAUUGGAACUGAGACACGGUCCAA
rnacentral:rRNA from 1 species